UCUAUUUCUUUCAAAACCACUUCUAGUAUCUUCACUUGCAUUGAAUUCAUCUUCUUUUAAUUUUAAAUAUUUUUAGUUCUUUUUUAUACAAAUCUUACUUCUAACAAUUGAUUAAAGACUGCUAGUUUAUUGUUCUUUAGGAGGUGGUUGCAUGGAAUAAAUUGUUUUUCCUUAAUGUUUCAUUCUUGACACAUGGUGCACUUGAAUUUCUCGACCAGCAAAUUCUUAUAUUGGGCAUGGAAAGCAGGUUCCUCAAGCAACGGUUGGAAAGUUUAUCUCGGGAGCAAUUCAUAAAACAUCAAUUUAUAUACUGAAAGGAUGAUCAAAGCUAGGCCUCCAAAGCCUCUUGUUCUUAAGAAUACAUUGGUCACAAUUGUGCAUGGUAAACAUUGAAAAUAGGUUUGUUUUGGUAUUAGUCAUAAUUCGGUUCAGACAUUUUGUCGAA